GCAAUUUGUGAAUGUCUGUUUGUCCUGUAGGAAAAGGGGAAGAAAAAGAGGAGGGAGAGAAAUGCCUCGAGUGUUCUAUUAAGCAUGCAAAAUAUACUAAAAAGAUUACAUAUGGUUGUCACGUUAUAUUUUGAAUUUGGCUGGCUUUUGAUUACUAUGGUUUUGUUACAUAAAUCAAGGUUUAGUAAUUUUUAAGUGAUAAAUUGAAUUUUAGCGACAUUAAUGGGAUUUAGCAACUGUAGAUGAAUAUACUCGAGUUUUUAGUAAUGACUGGAUAGUCAUAUUAGUGAUGCAAAUAAUAAAAAGAUUAUGUAGAUUUUGUUCGUGUAAUUAUUUAGAAUUCUCGUCUGGGGAAGGUGGGAUCCUUUUGUUUAGAAAAAUGUAGGAUAUUGCAUUUAAGCCAUAGAAUCAGUGGAUCAAUUAUUCAAUGAAGCGGUGCUGCUUUUGGAGUUGUGUGAGGCAACAAUAAUAUUAAGAGGCUUUCUUAAUAAGAAUGAGAACUAGUAUAAGGAUAAUAUUUAUAUUUAACCUCCAUUUCUUACUCUGCAAAAUACAGUGUAAAUCAAACCUGCAAUAUUGUUUUAGCCAUAAUUUUGUGAAUCCAACACAAACUCUUAUCCUAAUUUCGAACGAUCGUCUUACUUCCUGCUUUUGAUAUUCUACAUUAAUGAGGGUUUAUGAGACACCAUUUAUUAAUCACUUUUCUUCCUAAAGAUUUAAGUGUGGAAGCCUGUUAAAUGCAAGUAUGGAACAAAUUACUAUGAUUCAUGAUCUCUAUCCCCUUGAAAAAAUAAUGGAACUUUGAACAGUUUGCCCUUCUGAUGGAAUUGACAUUGUUUUAAUCUGCAUUGCUGCUAUAAUCAUCUGCAGGGAUGAAGAAUAUGAUCGAGGU
rnacentral:misc_RNA from 1 species